rnacentral:rRNA from 1 species
AUGAGGACUCUGUCCCUGCUCGCCGUCCUCCUCCUUGUCGUCGCUUCCCACCCGCGCAACGCCGCCAACGCCCACGGCGGCCACCGGUUCGGCAAGGAGAAGCUCACCAACCUGCGCUUCUACCUGCACGACACCCUCAGCGGCAGCGACCCGACGGCCGUCCCGGUGGCGCACGGCGCCAGCACCACGCCCAGGCCCGGCGACCCCACGCCCUUCAGCUCCGUCUACGUCGUCGACGACGUGCUCACGGAGGGGCCCGAGCGGACGUCCAGGGUCGUCGGCAGCGCGCAGGGGCUGUACGCGUCCACGGGCAGGCACGGGCUGGGCCUCGUCCUGGGCAUCGACUUCGCCUUCAACGACUACAACGGCAGCUCCUUCGUGGUCUUCUCGCGCAACCCCGUCGCGGACGGGGACGGCAGGGAGCUCGCCGUCGUCGGCGGCCGCGGCGCCUUCCGGCUGGCCCGCGGCUUCGCGCUGCUCCGCACGCACUACCUCAACACCGGCAACGGGGACGCCAUCAUCGAGUACAACGUCACCCUCAUGCACUACUGA